rnacentral:sRNA from 1 species
CCUCCUCGAUCUGCUGCGGGCAGAUGAAGUGGAUGUGGCUGUCGAAGCCGCCCGCCGUCAGGAUCUUGCCCUCGCCGGCGAUGACCUCGGUGCCCGGCCCGACCACGAUGUCGACCCCGGGCUGCACGUCCGGGUUGCCGGCCUUGCCGAGCCGGAAGAUCCGGCCGCGCACGAUGCCGACAUCGCACUUCACGAUGCCCCAGUGGUCGAGGACCACCGCGUUGGUGAUCACCGUGUCGACGGCGCCGUCGGCGUUCGUGGCCUGGCUCUGGCCCAUGCCGUCGCGGAUG